UACGUAGGGGGGCAAGCGUUGUCCGGAUUUAUUGGGCGUAAAGCGCGUGUAGGUGGCCAAGUAGGUCCGCUGUGAAAACUUGAGGCUCAACCUCAAGCUGUCGGUGGAAACCCCUUGGCUAGAGUCCGGAAGAGGAGAGUGGAAUUCCUGGUGUAGCGGUGAAAUGCGCAGAUAUCAGGAAGAACACCAUAGCGGCAAGGCAGCUCUCUGGGGACGGUAC
rnacentral:rRNA from 1 species